rnacentral:rRNA from 1 species
CCGGCACGGGUGAGUAACGCGUAUCCAACCUGCCCACCACUUGGGGAUAGCCUUGCGAAAGUAAGACUAAUACCCAAUGAUAUCUCUAGAAGACAUCUGAAAGAGAUUAAAGAUUCAUCGGUGAUGGAUGGGGAUGCGUCUGAUUAGCUUGUUGGCGGGGUAACGGCCCACCAAGGCAACGAUCAGUAGGGGUUCUGAGAGGAAGGUCCCCCACAUUGGAACUGAGACACGGUCCAA